ensembl:lncRNA
AGAGGACUGGCCACCCCACAUAUGCUCUCUCUAAUUCUCUCUUUUUUCUCUCUCUCGGAGGACCUGAGCCCUAGGACCAUGCCCCAGGACUACCUGACAUGAUGACUCCUUGCUGUCCCCAGUCCACCUGACCGUGCUGCUGCUCCAGUUUCAACUGUUCUGCCUUAUUAUUAUACGACCAUGCUGGUCAUUUAUGAACAUUUGAACAUCUUGGCCAUGUUCUGUUAUAAUCUCCACCCGGCACAGCCAGAAGAGGACUGGCCACCCAACAGCCUGGUUCCGCUCUAGGUUUCUUCCUAGGUUUUGGCCUUUCAAGGGAGUUUGAUUUGAUUUAUUAUACUGUGGAUAUAGAUACUUUUGUACCUGUUUCCUCCAGCAUCUUCACAAGGUCCUUUGCUGUUGUUCUGGGAUUGAUUUGCACUUUUCGUACAAAAGUAGGUUCAUCUCUAGGAGACAGAAUGCGUCUCCUUCCUGAGCGGUAUGGCGGCUGUGUGGUCCCAUGGUGUUUAUACUUGCGUACUAUUGUUUGUACAGAUGAAUGCGGUACCUUCAGGUGUUUGGAAAUUGCUCCUAAGGAUGAACCAGACUUGUGGUCUACAAUUUUUUUUCUGAGGUCUUGACUGAUUUCUUUUGAUUUUCCCAUGAUGUCAAGCAGAGAGGGGCUGGGUUUGAAGGUAGGCCUUGAAAUAAAUCCGCAGGUACACCUCCAAUUGACUCAAAUUAUGUAAAUUAGCCUACCAGAAGCUUCUAAAGCCAUGCCAUAAUUUUCUGGAAUUAUCCAAGCUGUUUAAAAGGCACAGUCAACUUUGUAUGUAAACUUCUGACCCACUGGAAUUGUGACGCAGUGAAUUAUAAGUGAAAUAAUCAGUCUGUAAACAAUUGUUGGAAAAAUUAGUUGUCAUGCACAAAGUAGAUGUCCUAACUAACUUGCCAAAACUAUAGUUUGUUAACAAGAAAUUUGUGGAGUGGUUGAAAAAUGAGUUUUAAUGAUUCCAACCUAAGUGUAUGUAAACUUCCGACUGUAGGUAAGGGUAAAAUGACUAUACAUAGAUAAAACAGCGAGUAGCAGCAGUGUAAAAACAAAGGGGGUGGGGGGUCAAUGCAAAUAGUCCGGGCGGCCAUUUGAUUAAUUGAGUCUUAUGGCUUGGGGGUUAAGUUAAGGAAACUUUUGGACCUAGACUUGGCACUCCGGUACCGCUUGCCAUGCGGUAGCAGAGAGAACAGUCUAUGACUUGGGUGACUGGAGUCGUGGAUGUGUUCGUCCCUCCUUUUCCUGUAGUCCACAAUCAUCUCCUUUGUCUUGCUCACAUUGAGGGAGAGGUUGUCCUGGCACCACUCUGCCAGGUCUCUGACCUCCUCCCUAUGGGCUGGCUCAAUGUUGUCGGUGAUCAGGCCUACCACAGUUGUGUUGUCAGCAAACUUAAUGAUAGUGUUUGAGUCGUGCUUGGCCAUGCAGUCGUGGGCGAACAGGGAGUACAGGGCAGGACCAAGCACGCACCCCUGAGGGGCCCCCGUGUUAAGAAUUAGCGUGGCAGAUGUGUUGUUGCCUACACUUAGGCCGCCCCCAGGUGCUAUCAGGAAGUCCAGGAUCCAGUUGUAGAGGGAGGUGUUUAGUCCCAGGGUCCUUAGCUUAGUGAUGAGCUUUGUGGGCACUAUGGUAUUGAACACUGAACUGUACUCAAUGAACAGCAUUCUCACGUAGGUGUUCCUUUUGUCCAUUUGGGAAAGGGGAGUGUGAUUGAGAUUGCAUCCUCUGAAUCUGUUGGUGCGGUAUGCUAAUUGGAAUGGGUCUGGCUACCUUCGCUUUCUUGGGCACAGGGACUAUGGUGGUAGGAAUUAGACUCGGUCAGGGAGAGGUUGAAAAUGUCAAUGAAGACACUUGCCGGUUGUGCUGUGCAUGCUCUGAGUACCCAUCCUGGUAAUCCUUCUGGCCCCGCGGCCUUGUGAAUGUUGACCUGUUUAAAGGUCUUGCUCACAUCAGCUAUGGAGAGCACGAUCACAAAGUCGUCCGGAACAGCUGGUGUUCUCAUGCAUGCUUCAGUGUUGCUUGCCUCAAAGGGAGCAUAAGUCAUUUUGCCAAUCUGGUAAGCUCAAAUCACUGGGCAGCUCGCGGCUGGGUUUCCCUUUGUAGUCUGUAAUAGUUUGCAAGCCCUGCCACAUCAUCUGACGAGUGUCGUAGGAUUCAGUCUUAGUCCUGUAUUGAUGUUUGAUGGUUCAUCUGAGUACAUAGCAGGGUUUCUUAUAAGCGUCGAUUAGUGUCCCGCUCCUUGAAAGCGGCAGCUCUAGCCUUUUAGCUUGGUGUGGAUGUUGCCUGUAAUCCAUGGCUUCUGGUUGGGGUAUUAUGUCAUCAAUGCACUUAUUGAUGAAGCCGAUGACUGAGGUGGUAUCAUGCCCUUGGAUGAAUCCCGGAACAUAUUCCAGUCUGUGCUAGCAAAACAGUCCUUAAGCGUGGCAUCCGCAUCAUCUGGCCACUUCCGUAUUGAGCGAGUCACUGGUACUUCCUGCUUUAGUUUUUGCUUCUAAGCAGGAAUCAGGAGAAUACAAUUAUGGCCAAAUUUGCAAAAUGGAGGGGAGGGAGAGCUUUGUACGUGUCUCUGUGUGCCGAGUAAAGGUGGUCAAGAGUUUUGUGACAUGCUGGUAGAAAUGAGGUCAAACUGAUUUAAGUUUGCCUGCAUUAAAGUCCCUGGCCACUACGAGCAUCGCUACUUGAUUUUAUUUUAUUAGGAUUGCUUUUUAGUCCUCAUUUGGACUAAUCUUCCAGAGUCCUUAAACAUUAAAAAACAAUUUAUAAUACGAUCACAUUUUGACAUAACACACUGUUACAAACAGACAUAAUACACGGGAAUAUUGACCAGAUAAAUACUCUUAACUGUCUAAAAAGAUAAAGAAUCAAUCUAUCUACCAUAGUCCAGCCCAACUUUCCGAUGUAUUUGUUUGAAUUUAUAUAUUGAAAGGUUUCUGAUUUGCUCAGAUAAAUUAUUACAUUUCUUUAUUGCUCUAAAUCUAAAUGUUAUUUUGCCUAUUUCUCUUUUCUGUCUGGAUAAUAUAUAGAUGGUGCACAAACUAAUCCUAGUAUUUACUGAAUGUCUGUCUCUUACUAACUGAAUACUGUUGUGAAGAAAGUUUGACUGUUUUAAAUGGUGUAUAUUAUGAAAUAAAAUAAGCGUUUUUUACAACUUU